CACGUAGGGUGCGAGCGUUGUCCGGAAUUAUUGGGCGUAAAGAGCUCGUAGGCGGUGUGUCGCGUCGGCCGUGAAAACCUGCAGCUUAACUGUGGGCUUGCGGUCGAUACGGGCAUCACUGGAGUUCGGCAGGGGAGACUGGAAUUCCUGGUGUAGCGGUGAAAUGCGCAGAUAUCAGGAGGAACACCGGUGGCGAAGGCGGGUCUCUGGGCCGAUACUGACGCUGAGGAGCGAAAGCAUGGGGGAGCGAACAGG
rnacentral:rRNA from 1 species